UACGUAGGGGGCAAGCGUUGUCCGGAUUUAUUGGGCGUAAAGAGCGUGUAGGCGGCUAGGUAGGUCCGUUGUGAAAACUCGAGCUCAACCUCGAGACGCCGGUGGAAACCAUCUAGCUAGAGUCCGGAAGAGGAGAGUGGAAUUCCUGGUGUAGCGGUGAAAUGCGCAGAUAUCAGGAAGAACACCCGUGGCGAAGGCGGCUCUCUGGGGACGUGACUGACGCUGAGACGCGAAAAGCGUGGGGGAGC
rnacentral:rRNA from 1 species